GAUGAACGCUGGCGGCGUGCCUAAUACAUGCAAGUCGAGCGAACGGACGAGAGGCUUGCUUUUCUGAUGUUAGCGGCGGACGGGUGAGUAACACGUGGAUAACCUACCUAUAAGACUGGGAUAACUUCGGGAAACCGGAGCUAAUACCGGAUAAUAUUUUGAACCGCAUGGUUCAAAAGUGAAAGACGGUCUUGCUGUCACUUAUAGAUGGAUCCGCGCUGCAUUAGCUAGUUGGUAAGGUAACGGCUUACCAAGGCAACGAUGCAUAGCCGACCUGAGAGGGUGAUCGGCCACACUGGAACUGAGACACGGUCCAGACUCCUACGGGAGGCAGCAGUAGGGAAUCUUCCGCAAUGGGCGAAAGCCUGACGGAGCAACGCCGCGUGAGUGAUGAAGGUCUUCGGAUCGUAAAACUCUGUUAUUAGGGAAGAACAUAUGUGUAAGUAACUGCGCACAUCUUGACGGUACCUAAUCAGAAAGCCACGGCUAACUACGUG
rnacentral:rRNA from 1 species